rnacentral:snoRNA from 1 species
AAACAUGUCGAGGUUUAUUGAAACUAAGAUUGAAAUGUUCUCCAACUGCAUGCGAGAGCAACCUGGAGAGACUUUGACAGCUCAGGUCAGCGGAGUACCUGCAGCUGCCACUCGACUUUCCUAUAAUG